rnacentral:SRP_RNA from 1 species
CUCUGUAACUCCGGAACGUCCUUCCGGGUGUGUGUCUGUAGGACCAAGAAUGAGCUUGGGAAGCAGCUGUGCUUUGGCUUGUCCAUUCAAAUUAGGGGUCAACAAAGGCGUUUAAGGGUAACCUCUAGCGUCUUGGUUGUCAAAGAAGCUUGAACCGCCUAAGGCUGGUAACAGAGCAGGGUUGAAGGGCUCGCCUUUAAUAGUGAAGGGAUAGCAGGCCU